GACGAACGCUGGCUGCGUGCUUAACACGUGCAAUUCGAACGGAAAGGCCCUGCUUUUGUGGGGUGCUCGAGUGGCGAACGGGUUAGUAACACGUGAGUAACCUGCCCUUGACUUUUGGAUAACUUCAGGAAACUGGGGCUAAUACCGGAUAGGAGCUCCUGCUGCAUGGUGGUGGUUGGAAAGUUUCGGCGGUUGGGGAUGGACUCGCGGCUUAUCAGCUUGUUGGUGGGGUAGUGGCUUACUAAGGCUUUGACGGGUAGCCGGCCUGAGAGGGUGACCGGCCACAUUGGGACUGAGAGACGGCCCAGACUCCUACGGGAGGCAGCAGUGGGGAAUAUUGCACAAUGGGCGGAAGCAUGAUGCAGCAACGCCGCGUGCGGGAUGACGGCCUUCGGGUUGUAAACCGCUUUCGCCUGUGACGAAGCGUGAGUGACGGUAAUGGGUAAAGAAGCACCGGCUAACUAAGUG
rnacentral:rRNA from 1 species